rnacentral:rRNA from 1 species
UACGGAGGGGCUAGCGUUGUUCGGAAUUACUGGGCGUAAAGCGCGCGUAGGCGGACCUGCAAGUCGGGGUGAAAGCCCGGAGGCUCAACCUCGGAACUGCCUUCGAUACUGCGGUCUCGAGUCCGGGAGAGGUGAGUGGAAUCGUAGUGUAGAGGUGAAAUUCGUAGAUAUUAGGAAGAACACAGUGGCGAAGGCGGCUACACCGAUGGUGC